CACUGAAAGGACUGACAGAUUGAUGGCUCUUUCUCAGGGCUGUGGGUGGUUGUGCAUGGACGUUCUAAGCUGAUGGAGUGAUUUGUCUGGUUAAUUCCAAUAACAAAUGAGACUCUGCUGUGCCAAAUAGUAAUUCAAGCCCUGGGCUAUCUCUUGAAUCAGCCUCCUCCUUUCCAUUCCCACUACCUCCGCCCUAACUUGGGCCCUCAUUAUCUCUUCCCUGAACUAUUGCAAAAGUCUUGUAACCAAUCUGCCAGCUUCCAGUUUCUUCCUCCUCCAAUCUAUCCUACACAUUACCACCAGAAAAAUGUCCCCUAAUAUGUUCAUGUCAUUCUCAUUUGCAAAUCUUCAAGUACAGCCUACCAGAAGAAGUACAAAAUUUUAGUUAGGCAUUAA
rnacentral:ncRNA from 1 species